rnacentral:tRNA from 1 species
GGUAAAAUGGCCGAGAGUUUAGGCGGCGGGUUGUAGCCCCGAUCAUGAAGGUUAAAGUCCUUUUUUCACCA